UAGAGUUUGAUCCUGGCUCAGGAUGAACGCUAGCUACAGGCUUAACACAUGCAAGUCGAGGGGCAUCAUGGAGUUUGCUUGCAAACUCUGAUGGCGACCGGCGCACGGGUGAGUAACGCGUAUCCAACCUUCCCUAUAGUAGAGGAUAGCCCGGCGAAAGUCGGAUUAAUACUCUAUGUUUUCCGUUGCAGACAUCUAAGAUGGAACAAAGGCUUGCCGCUAUAGGAUGGGGAUGCGUCUGAUUAGGUAGUCGGCGGGGUAACGGCCCACCGAGCCAUCGAUCAGUAGGGGUUCUGAGAGGAAGGUCCCCCACAUUGGAACUGAGACACGGUCCAAACUCCUACGGGAGGCAGCAGUGAGGAAUAUUGGUCAAUGGGCGAGAGCCUGAACCAGCCAAGUAGCGUGCAGGACGACGGCCCUAUGGGUUGUAAACUGCUUUUAUGCGGGGAUAAAGUUCACUACGUGUAGUGUUUUGUAGGUACCGCAUGAAUAAGGACCGGCUAAUUCCGUGCCAGCAGCCGCGGUAAUACGGAAGGUCCGGGCGUUAUCCGGAUUUAUUGGGUUUAAAGGGAGCGCAGGCCGGAGGUCAAGCGUGACGUGAAAUGUAGCCGCUCAACGGCUGAACUGCGUCGCGAACUGGCUUUCUUGAGUGAGUUCGAUGUGGGCGGAAUUCGUGGUGUAGCGGUGAAAUGCUUAGAUAUCACGAAGAACUCCGAUUGCGAAGGCAGCCCACAAGGCCUUUACUGACGCUAAAGCUCGAAGGUGCGGGUAUCGAACAGGAUUAGAUACCCUGGUAGUCCGCACGGUAAACGAUGGAUGCCCGCUGUUUGCGAUAUACUGUGAGCGGCCACAGAGAAAUCGUUAAGCAUCCCACCCAGGGAGACCCCCG
rnacentral:rRNA from 1 species